AUUGAACGCUGGCGGCAUGCCUUACACAUGCAAGUCGAACGGCAGCGGACCUUCGGGUGCCGGCGAGUGGCGAACGGGUGAGUAAUAUAUCGGAACGUACCUUUCAGUGGGGGAUAACGUAGCGAAAGUUACGCUAAUACCGCAUAUUCUGUGAGUAGGAAAGCAGGGGAUCGCAAGACCUUGCGCUGAUUGAGCGGCCGAUAUCAGAUUAGCUAGUUGGUGAGGUAAAGGCUCACCAAGGCGACGAUCUGUAGCGGGUCUGAGAGGAUGAUCCGCCACACUGGAACUGAGACACGGUCCAGACUCCUACGGGAGGCAGCAGUGGGGAAUUUUGGACAAUGGGCGCAAGCCUGAUCCAGCCAUGCCGCGUGAGUGAAGAAGGCCU
rnacentral:rRNA from 1 species